ACCAUGGAGAGUUUGAUCCUGGCUCAGGAUGAACGCUGGCGGUCGGCCUAACACAUGCAAGUCGAACGGGCCCUUU
rnacentral:rRNA from 1 species